CGGGGCAGCUCUCAGGUACGGGCAGCUGCAGGCUGUUGUUUCCCACGCCCCAGAUGAUGGCUGAUGAAUCUACAUCUUUGUAAGGGAUCUCUCCGCCACAUCGUCUCCGUGGAACUUGCCGAGGAAGACGGCACCCUGCGCCCCGCUGCCCACCCACUGCAGGUCGGAGAUCUCCUCAAAUGGAACCUCCCAGCUUUCUGAACAGAGACCGGCAAAUAGAAACAAACUAAGAAGAAACAUUCCAUUCAUUUCAGACCCUCCAAUUUGAGUCAAUGGGUUCGGAACGUGCUUCACCACAGAAUGGGCAUCUUGCAACGCGCAGGCUGACAAAUAAUAGCGAUUAAUUAAACAAUUAAUCAAAUUAAUUAAACAGACAGACAAACAAUACUGUGAUUAGCAUAAUCAGCAGUGUUGUUCUUGUUGAAAGAAAAUGAAUGGAUCUGUCUUCCACACCUUAAAUAACAGAGUUCUUGGCCACUAAAGAGAAAUGCAGCAGGCAGAGCCAAAGAGAGAAGCGAAUCUAUUCUUCAUGAGGUCCACUGAAGUGUGAAGCUCUCUGGAGGCCCGCUUUAGCAGAGACGGAUGCACACGACGUUUCCCCAUAGCUAGCUGCUAAAACUCACUCUGUCUGAUUUGUGUCAACAGACAACAGUGGCAAACUGGUGAGAGACAAUCUUUUUUUUUUUUUUUUUUUUUUUUUUUUUUUAUAAAUAUGUUCAUUUAAUCCUCCCAUCAUGUUAGCCCUGAGAGGAUUGUGAGACAGCAUUCAGUCGGGCCUAUUUGGAAAUGUUCUUACUUCAUUUUAGCUGGUCGACGAGUGUAAGAGUGAUGAUGAUGAUGAUGUAACCCUGACAAAAUUGAGGAAAUAUGUUUUUGGCAACGAAGAAAACAGGACUGCUGUUAGCAAACACUUGGAGUCACUAUUUUUAAAAAACAAAGGCCAUGUCCAAAAUCUUGAAAUGCUACUAGAUUGAGACCUGACUUUCAGCGGUCACAUCAAAUGACUUUGAAAAAUAUCUCCAUACUGAAAGGGUUGCAGACCAGAAGAAGCUUUGCCAUGCUUUUAUUUCCAGGGUCAAUUAAUGCAGCCCAGGUUUCCAAGCAAACACGGUGAAGCGGCAUUUAGCUGUUAUGCUACACGCAAAUCGAAUAAGUGAUAUCAGCCCCAAGUAUGAAUGAUUUUAAAUCCAGGUUAAAAACAAAAUUUUAUUUUUCACAUUCCAUCCUUUGAUUUUUUUUAAAUAUUUUGAAACUCAAUUUCGUUUUUUCUUCGCUCUUUUGCUUUUGAAUGUCUUUAAAUCUUUAGUUUGUAAAUAUAUUUAAACAUCAAUCUUCAUUCUUUUAGUAUUUUAACAAAAUAUGAACUUUUGUUCUCUUUGCUCUGCCUUUGAAUAUCUUCGGCUGUUCACAUUGAAUUGGCUUGUGUAUAAAAUGUGCCAAUAUGAA